rnacentral:tRNA from 1 species
GGUUUUAUAUUCAAAUGUAAUGAUUUUAAAUUGCAAAUUUAAAGGUGUAUUUUACUAAAACCU